rnacentral:lncRNA from 1 species
GCAACAUGCUGCUGUUGCUGGGAGUGGGAAAGAGGUGGCAUCGGCGGUUCAAGACUGAGUUUUCUAUCUCUUCAGUGCCUCUUUCAACAAUGAAGAUCAAACCAGGUUUUGUGCAAAUAUCUGCUGAGUGAACUACUUAUUUGAAAAUACAUCAUUGGUUAAUAUUCCCUUUUGCUCAUUGAAAUCUCAAAGACUACAGACCCCGCACAAGACAUUCUGACAUUCCCGUCUUUGAAAUGAAUGACAGCAAUGAUAAAUAUGGCUCACCUCCAGAGAUACAGAUCUCACAACUUCAUAUUUUUAAUAUAAAUUAUUAAUCUGAGUUUCCAGAAGCAGAGAGAGAUAAGACCCAUGAUAAUCAAGCCAUAAACAGAUGCAUUUACUAGCUGAAUGGCCAACAAUGGAAUUCAACAAAUCCAUCUUGAGCACGGCAGCCAGGAACAAACUACAAUAAAGCCAUGCCCUGACUGGAUGUGCCUAACAUUUGUCUGGUGCUUAAAGGAGUUGGCUGCAUGCGUGGAAAUGUUGGAAAGUCACCAAAAAUAGUUCUCCAAGUCAGAAGCGGUGCAAAAGCUGCCUCAGCUCUUGGUGGAUUUUCAAUUUCUCCCAGCCAUCUCUGUUUCGCUAAAGGUUUCUGAAGACAGUGGAUAAUGAAGAUAUUAUACCAUUAUAUGCUCUUGAAUCUGUCUCAUUGUGACUUGGCGAAGAGGCAGUGAAUCUGCCAAAAAGAAGUAGAGCAGCUGUGAAGAUGCCAACACAAUUGAGUACUCUUUCUCUACAUAUUUCUAAAUAUGGCAAUUUAUUGGACACUUAUGAGCAUGGAAUGACAAUGGGGUCAAUUUAACCAUACGGCAAUGCUGAGACACCUUCAUUAUGACCUUUCCCUGGUAUAAGUUAUGUGAUAAUGAAUGCAUGUUUAGUCACACACUGUAGGUACAGAUGGGAAAAAAGAAAGCAUAAAAUAUAAAACAUGAUGUCCAGGUUUCAAAUAAGAAUUCUAAAAUGUUAUUUAAUUAAUGAAAUGAAAAUACUUUACUUUAGAAAAAGAAUAUUGAAUCUCUUUGAUGUAUAAAAUGUAUAUUUCAAAUUAAAAAUUCAAAAGAAACAAA